AUAUCAAUAAGCGGAGGAAAAGAAACCAACAGGGAUUGCCUUAGUAGCGGCGAGUGAAGCGGCAAAAGCUCAAAUUUGAAAUCUGGCACUUUCAGUGUCCGAGUUGUAAUUUGAAGAAGGUAUCUUUGGGUCUGGCUCUUGUCUAUGUUUCUUGGAACAGAACGUCACAGAGGGUGAGAAUCCCGUGCGAUGAGAUGUCCCAGACCUAUGUAAAGUUCCUUCGAAGAGUCGAGUUGUUUGGGAAUGCAGCUCUAAGUGGGUGGUAAAUUCCAUCUAAAGCUAAAUAUUGGCGAGAGACCGAUAGCGAACAAGUACAGUGAUGGAAAGAUGAAAAGAACUUUGAAAAGAGAGUGAAAAAGUACGUGAAAUUGUUGAAAGGGAAGGGCUUGAGAUCAGACUUGGUAUUUUGUAUGUUACUCUCUCGGGGGUGGCCUCUACAGUUUACCGGGCCAGCAUCAGUUUGGGCGGUAGGACAAUUGCAAAGAAAUGUGGCACUGCCUCGGUAGUGUGUUAUAGUCUUUGUCGAUACUGCCAGCCUAGACUGAGGACUGCGGCUUCGGCCUAGGAUGUUGGCAUAAUGAUCUUAAGUCGC
rnacentral:rRNA from 1 species